GCCUUCUUGGUGUAGUGGUCAGCACGCUUGACGCGUAUUCGAGAGGUCCGUGGUUCGAGUCCCGGCGAAGACA
rnacentral:tRNA from 1 species